rnacentral:rRNA from 1 species
UACAACGAGUCGCAAGCUCGCGAGAGUAAGCUAAUCUCUUAAAGCCGUUCUCAGUUCGGACUGUAGGCUGCAACUCGCCUACACGAAGUCGGAAUCGCUAGUAAUCGCGGAUCAGCAUGCCGCGGUGAAUACGUUCCCGGGCCUUGUACACACCGCCCGUCACACCAUGGGAGUUUGUAACGCCCAAAGUCGGUGGCCUAACCUUUAUGGAGGGAGCCGCCUAAGGCGGGACAGAUGACUGGGGUGAAGUCGUAACAAGGUAAC